rnacentral:rRNA from 1 species
GUAGGUGGCAAGCGUUGUCCGGAAUUAUCGGGCGUAAAGCGCGCGCAGGCGGUUCUUUAAGUCUGAUGUGAAAGCCCACGGCUCAACCGUGGAGGGUCAUUGGAAACUGGAGAACUUGAGUACAGAAGAGGAAAGCGGAAUUCCACGUGUAGCGGUGAAAUGCGUAGAGAUGUGGAGGAACACCAGUGGCGAAGGCGGCUUUCUGGUCUGUAACUGACGCUGAGGCGCGAAAGCGUGGGGAGCAAACAGGGAUUAGAUACCCUGGUAGUCCACGCCGUAAACGAUGAGUGCUAAGUGUUAGGGGGUUUCCGCCCCCUUAGUGCUGCAGCUAACGCAUUAAGCACUCCGCCUGGGGAUACGGCCGCAAGGCUG